rnacentral:tRNA from 1 species
GUGGGGAUGCCGGAGUGGCCAAACGGGAUGGACUCAAGCCAUUUUUUUCCGGAUAUGCUGAGGAAUUAUCCGAUGAUUGGUAGAUAUCCAUUGGCUUAGUGCCUACGGGGGUUCAAAUCCUCCUCCCCACA